CUCUCGUUGUGAUUGCUAUUAAGCUUGGGGUAAGGCGUUUAUGAUUUGAUUAUCUACUAUAUUUGAGAGCCUUACAAAGGAUCACAACUUUUGAUUGAGCAAUAUAUGGGAUUCUCAAAUGCUGAAGAGGUGACAGGUGGGAUUUGGAUAACAAACAUAUUAAUGAUUCUAGCAGGAAGUGUUGUUAGAACUUGGAAGCUUGAUCGUACCAUAUUUAUCUUUCUUUAUUAUUGAGGAACUUAUUGAUUACAUUAAUUUUGGAUACAAAUUUGAUUUUUAUGAUAUGUGAUCAAAAUUAUUGUUAGAGGAUGUUUUGUUUGAGGUCAAGUUGUGUUGGGAAUGGUUUGUUUUUGUUGGGUUUUGGUUAUUCUGCUUAGGAAGUGCCAAUGAUUUGAAAGAUUUCACAAUUAUCUAAUUUCUACUAUGUAUCAAUUAUUACUUCUAAUAUCGAUACAAUUUGUUAUCACUUUGUAUCUUGAUACAGUGACUAUUAAUGCUUCAUAUCUCUACUAGUAAUUAAGUAUUGAAUUGAUUUACAUUUU